CAGUCGCCGCGGUAAUACAGAGGGUGCAAGCGUUAAUCGGAAUUACUGGGCGUAAAGCGCGCGUAGGUGGUUUGUUAAGUUGGAUGUGAAAUCCCCGGGCUCAACCUGGGAACUGCAUCCAAAACUGGCAGGCUAGAGUAGGGCAGAGGGUGGUGGAAUUUCCUGUGUAGCGGUGAAAUGCGUAGAUAUAGGAAGGAACACCAGUGGCGAAGGCGACCACCUGGGCUCAUACUGACACUGAGGUGCGAAAGCGUGGGGAGCAAACAGGAUUAGAUACCCGAGUAGUCCCUGUCUCUUAUAA
rnacentral:rRNA from 1 species